CGAAGGGGCCGCUCCGGAGCGGGGGCCGAGCCGCGCUCCCAUUGGGCGGCCGCCGCGUCGAUCCGCCCGGUUGUGGCGCCCCAUUGGCGGCGGGGGCGGGGCGGGGGCGGGGCGGGGCGGCCCCCGCCCUGUGACUAACUCCCGUGUGUGAGUCACGGCGCGCGGCCCGUCAGCGCCGUUAAAUGCCGUGUGCGGACGGGCGGCGCUGCCUCCGUCGCUCCCCGAGCCGCCCCGAUCCCCUCCCGCGGUACGCGGCCGGCGGGCCGCGCCUGUCACCGUGUCACAUCCUCCCCGCCGGCUGCGGCCGCAACUUCCCCCCCAGCUCCGCCGCUCGGGCCCCCGCAGCGGCAUGGGAUAGAGCGAAGCCUCCUCGGCCGCCGCGCGCUGAUUUCUAAGCGCGAUCGUCACCCCCCGAGCCCCUCUCGUCUCCCAUCUGGAAAAGCCCUCCGUGCCGAGCGGGCGCCCCUCGCCCCGCCGCGCCGCCCCACAGCGCUCCUCAGCGGCCCUCGCGGCGGAGCCCCCGGAGCGGGUGAGUGCGGGGCGGGGGCGGGGGGCGGUGUGCGAGUCGGGCGCUCUCCUUCCCGCGCCGCCCCGCGGGGCUGCUCUCGGGCUGACUUUCCUCCGGGCGCGAAGCCCAAGCGAUAAAAAUCACCGUCGCCGCUAUCGAUCGUUCCGGGGGUAUUUUUAGAAAGGUGAACGCGGUGCGCCUUGUGGUCGCUGGGAUAAAAGGGAGAGGUGGGACGCCCCGGCGGGCGCUCCGCGUUGCGUCCCUGCCUGCCGCGGCUCGGCUGUCGGUGGCACAGCGGGAGCGGGCGCUGAGCUGAGCGCUCCGCACGCCUCGGGGGGCCGGAGGAUACGGGAACGUCCACGGAACUUGUGUGAGAAGAGGGGCCGGCAUCGCUCCGAGGGUCCUGCGCGUGAAGUUGCUUUGCUGUUUGAAGGCGAGAGCUCGUGUGAGCGUACCGGGGAAGCCUGUGUCAGAGUACAGGGGAAGCAAAGCUCGGCUUCGGUCAGCAGCUUUUGGAGUGACAGGUCGGUAAUUUCGUAGAGAAAAUGAAGUUUGAAGCAGAUCUUGGCUUGCUUGUGUCUAUAAAGAGGGGAACAAACAGAAAUCCCCUCUGAGGCAGUAGGAGCGCUGCAUGGGAAGCUGGCCCAAGCUCAGGUGCCAGGCAGCACCCUGCCCAUAGCUCCUACACUUUCUGUCGUGUCUGGUCCUUACAUCUGCAUGCAGCAGGCCUGCUGCUCCUCUGGCACUGCUUCGGCACCAUUAACUUUCAUGGAGAGGGUUAGCAUUAAUGUGAGAAGUAAUCAGGAAACCUAUGUGUUCAGUGAGCCCCUCCAUAGAGCUCCUCGCUCCUAUUCCUCCUCUCCUCAGUCCCAGCUGUGCCAGCUAUACUCAGGCUGCGUGGUACGUCACUGCACAAGUCCUCCCUGUCACACUGGUGUGACCACUUGUGUGCUGCGCACCAACCCGGUGAGUGGAGUGGCAGCCGGGUUGUUGUUGUGGGUUGUUUAUUAUUAGCUUUUUUUCCUUCCCCUGAAGAAAAAAAAAAAGAAAAGAAAAAAAAAGGCUGUAUUGGAUAACUCUUUCUCUUGGGUUGUGAAGAAAAUUUCUGAGGAUUUCGUGUAACGCUGCUCUGUUAACUGACUGUACCAAAAAUAACCAUUGAAGACCUCUGUGCUACCGAUGAAACAAGCGAGUAAGUUUUCUGUGUGCUCAGCUUUCUCUCGUUGCUAUGGAAAGCAAAAAAAAAGAAAGGUGGUUGUUGCAAAAGUUGUUAUCUUGUCCUGAAAUUCCUCUGUGCCUGAGGGAAUCCAUACCUACACGAGGUCUUCAAGCUGUCCGGUUUUGUUCCUGCUUUUUUUCCCCCCCUCUCCAAAAAGCCCCCCAAAUUCACACCACCUCGUUCGAGUGUUUGCUGUCGAAGUCAUUGCCGGCAGGAUCAGGACCUCGGUUGUUUUCCUUCAAGGCGGUUGGUAGUGGCUUGGAUGUGAUGUUACAGGGAGAUAAUAUUAUCUGGAGCGUCCACAGCUCACGUCCACUGUCUCAGUACAAUCUCAGAAGGAAGCUCCACACUACACUGUCUGCAAAGAGAAAAUGUCUAACAAAGCAGAACUGCCUUUUGCUUUUACAUUCUUGUUUAUGUAUCUCUUGAAAGAACAGUUUAUACUCUGAGUGAGGCGCAGUUCUUUCGUGCUGAUUUCGUGUUCUCAGUUCCUUGUAUGACUGUGUUCAUUGCUGAGCUAUUGUGUCACUGAUUGAGAUGUUAUUGUAAUUAACAUUAAUUAUGCAAACUAGAUUGUUUUUCGAGGCUCUCCAACUCUGUAUUGAUACUGUCAACUUGUUUGUCUGUUAAACAAAAAUCCACACAUUUUCACCCUUCUUGGAGGAAAUAGAUCAAUUGGGUCCAAAUGAAUAUACACAAAACCACUGCAAAAUUAAGCUCCUUUAACUAAAACACGUUAAAUCCUGAUAGAGGUGGUGAAUAUACUUGGAUCUGAAAUACCAAGGCAGGCUGAACAGGGGUAGUAGGAAAGGGGACUCAGUGCAGCCAUCUGGGGAGGGUGUUCACCCUGCAACCUCCACUGCGUUCACUCCUAAUAGACAGUACUGGAUUAAUUGGGCCAGAUUCUGCAGCUCCUAAUUGAGCAAAACUCUCUCCAAAGCGUACUGGAGAUGCCUGCUUGGCUGUGGGCUGCUGAAUUGGUUCAAGAAAUAGACGAAAGCAGCAGAGCUUUCUUCAUUAAUUGCUUAGGACGUUUUGGAUUUUAGGCUUGGGUAUCUUCUUUAAUUUAUUUGGAUUUUAAAAGUGAUUGAGUUUUUUUUUUUUUUUUCAGAAAAACCUGCUUUAAAAAAGGGUGACUAAUAUUUACUUAUAAAAUAUUCCCCAUAGCAGAGGUACCACUUUAAAAUACAUUUUCGUGUGUUAAUUAUAGUGAUACUCACAAGAAUCUUUGUCUGAUUCUGAAUCACCCCAUUGAAACCCUCCUGAGCGAAAUCUCUCCCUAGAAAUCAUAAUAGUUGCAAUAUUUAUAUGUUAUGUUGUUGUAUACUCCCAGGGAGAAAAAAAAAGAAUGAGGGGUGGGGAGAAGAGUUUAAAUGAGAACUUGUCAUCACGACAUCAAAUCUGAAAACAUAGGCGGGCUGGCAGAUUAUUCCCUGCCUUAAAAAUGAAGUCUCUCUAAUUUCCCAUUUAAAUAGCAAAAUUGGGUUUGCAGUUUGCUUUGGGUAACGAAAAGGUUUUUUUCUGUUUCUCCUUUUGGUGCAGUGGUCCUCUGGAAAGUUAGAAACAGAGCCCUGCGGCUCAGCGAAGUCAAGGGUGUAUAAUUAUAUGGGAGGGCUCCCUAGCAUCAGUGAAUUAGCAUUAGCAGCUGAGUGAGUUUAAGCAGUAGAGAUGGUAUUCUGGAAAUCAAUAAAAUGCUGGUUUCUCUUUCUUAUUGCAGAUUCCACGCUAGAAGGGAAGGAUGCUGUUUGUUUGUCUGCUUCUCGUGUUGGCUUGCCAAACAGUAGUUGACUUGGAAAGACAGGUUUUUUUUGGGUCAGGGGAUAAGUUGCACAUAUCUAUUUAUUUUAAACAUCUCCUUUAAAUUUUGUUUCAUUGGACGAUCUUCUAGAAAUCACACUAACAUCCUGGCCUGCAAGAACCUUCAAGUGUGUCUGUUUGCCAGCAGAAGCGAGAGUGAAGGUCACUUAUUAUGACAUGCUAGUGUGACAGUGUUUGUUGUAGCUCAAAUACUACACGUUCCUUACAUUCCUGUUUCUGCUUUAAAUUAAAUUAACUCGAGGGUUUGGAGGGUUCUGGUGAAAAGCACUGUAACCCACAGCAGAAAUAAAAGAGAAAUAGCGACCUUAGCUGUUGUCAGAGAUGUGAGUCAGAAGGACUGAUAUUAAUCACUGUAAGAUCUGUAAUGUGCAUUGGCUUUUAUUUCUUUGUCUCAAAGCUUCUCCUGUUUUUAUACUAGGAGGACAAGCAACCCGAUCAUUCAUCACACUGAGCACUGAGAGAAAUGACAAAUCGGCACUCUCACGCUGAGCACUAUGUAACAUGUGUGAUGCAUGUAGUUCUGAUGAUCUGUAUAAAGCAUCUUAAUUGGGAGGAACAGCACUAAUUCAAGGGCUUUAUGGUGCUUUAUUUUUAAUACACUGAGGGCUCUGAGGGAGCCUGGGAAACCUGGGAUAGCAUGAGCAUUGAUGACCAUGGGCUUCAUGGACCUCAGAUGGUUCACACAGUGAGAAUCCUUCUUGUGGCAUGGGAGUGGUGUAUGUAUGGAGCUCAGGCAUGGCGAGGUGUACAAAGCAUGUUCUUGUAUGAACAGAUACCAUUCAAAAUGACAGAUGUAUGAUUCAGGCAACAGUAAAGGUCAGCAACUUGAAAAAUUAGUACUAUGCAUCAUACUGACAUUUCAGAGGGAAUUCUGAUGGGGCUGUGGUUCCAGCAAAUGCAAACUGGUGAGUCCGGCCGUACAGAUAAAAUAGACAGCCUUCUCCUUAUCUCUUCGCUCAUCCGAACCUUUUUACAGACAAACUGGCAAAAUUAUGUUUAUAGCAGAUCUCCCUGUGCUUCAUUGUUCCUGCUCAUCUCUAGUAAAAUAGAGCUGGUGAGGGCCGGCAUGGUGCUCCCAGUGCUCAGCUGUAGUUCAGAAAUGGCAUUCGGCUUUCUAAUGACUAUAAACAGGAAAAGUAUUUGCCUGAGUUGUGUUCUACAGCAUUUCCUAUCUUUGGCAUUUCUGUGGGUGUCCAGUUAAAGGCAGCUGAGGAACACAGAAAUGAAUAAAACAGGGAAGAAGAGGUCUCAUGUAAACCUGAACAGAACUUUCUUGGCUCCUACUAUGUGAAAUAGGGAUUCCAAGGAACACCAAAGGCACUGCUUUUUUGUAACCAUAAAACUGCAGUAGUAACAGUGGCACCAACGGAGUGGCUUCAAGAUAGAGAAGGAAAUACAGUUACUGUGCUGUCCUUAUGAAAGCUGUUAGUAAUGUGGUUGAAGCAUUAGUCCCGAGAACAAAGGUGUUGAGAUCUGGGAUUCUUCCUCUUUAAAAAUUAGCUUUCUAGAUUCAUAUAAUUGCUGCAAGGGAAAAAUGUAACAGGUUGUUGGGUUAUCCAGGUUUGACGUUCUCAUUACAAACAUGCACAUCGUUUUCUGUUGACUUGACAUCAACGCGAAUAUCCGGAGUUAUUCUUCACCUCUGGUUAUCUUUUUUUAGUUUGUUUCAUUUCUUUUAAGUAUCUUUCCCUCAGCUGCUUUCCUUCUUUCUCCUGCUGAAUUCCUUUCCAAGUGUUUCUGAUUCUCUCUGCCUCUUUGUAGCCAUUUUCUUCCAGUUAUUCUUUCUAGUCUUCACUAUCAGAACUGCUGUUUGCAUAUAGCAUCGCAGUAGUGACUGAAUAACACUGCUCUGUGCAGACUAGUAAUAAACAGCAGUGGUCCCUUCCUUAAGAAGCUUGCAGUGGGAAUGUGAAAUGUGGGGGACUGGUAUGCAGCUCCUGUUUUUCAUGGCCCUCAUUUCAUGUUUUGGUGUGGAGGGCGGUUGCACCGCUGUCAUGCAGCGUUAUGUGCAUGUUGAGGUGUGGGACACCGGUGUGCUCUACACUGGGCAAGAAAGAGGUUGGCCACUGCUGACACUUAGUCCAAAAGAAAAACGUGAAGAGAGAGCCUGUUGGAGGUGUGACACGACUUGCUGCAGUUAUCCAAGAGUCGGGGAGAGAGCCAGGAAUAAUACCCAGGCAUCAUCACCUUCAGACACGUGUCCUGUGCUGUACCAAAGCAGGUUUUUUUGCCCUUACAGAGCUUGCUAUUUUUUUUCCCGUAGUUCUGCUUGUAUUUAUUUGGCUGUCUUCUCUGUUGUAGUCCUUUUUUCAUCCCUAAUACAUUAUAUAUAGUAGAUACACCUCCUAGAUAUACCUCCUAGACUGCAUGCCAGGGAUGUUAUUAAGCAUUGCUGGGUUUUCCCUUACCUCGUGCUGAAAUAUCUGGCCCUUGCCAAAGAAGUUGAGGUCAGAAUCAUGGCCCCUUGAGUAUCACACACCAAAAAAUAAUGUAUGUGUUGAAGGUAGCCAAGUACCCUUUAAGAACAAACAAACAAGAUCAGUGAAGUUAAGAAAGGUAAUAUUUGGCUUGUGAUGCAAUACAAGAACUAAGCUAUAAAGCAAGGUAGGUUUCCUGUGAUGUAGAGGUAAAAGGUCCCUAUGAGAGGGACUGUACCCGUUAGUGAAGUUUGUGGUCAGAGCUGAAUCUCUAAGCCUGGUGGUGGUGGUUGUCUGAUAUCAAGAGCCAAAAUGAGAGGUCACAGCUAGAUACACACUGGGAAAGUGCUCCGUUGUGGAGCAUCCUUCCAGCAUUCUGCCAGAACUAGAAGGCUUCCCAUCUGCCUCUGGUUUUUGAAUAUUUUGAUUUAUUUUACCUAUUUUCUGAUAUUUCAGAGCAAAUUGUAGGGAAAAGCAGUUUGUCUUUUCAGACUUGCAAAUUUCUGUGCCUUUCCUACCUUGGAAAGUUCAAAAGAAAAAAAAAUAUAUCUCUUGGGUAUAUUCCACUUCUUUCUCCCCCCGCAUUCAAAAUGACAUAAUCUUCCCUUGUUCAGAAUAAGAACUGUGAUAAUUCAUUUCCUUUGCUGUGAUAAUACAUUGCCCAAAUGUCCUGGUAGCAUAAUUUGAUUGUGUUGCUUGGACAGCUAUCAUAUCACUCCUAUAAAACAGCAGUGUUUGAAAUCUUAUAAUCCAAGAAAUCCAAACUGAAGUGCUUACAACAGUGACUAAUUGCAUGCUAGCGUGUAUUACUGUAUCUUCCUGAGUUAUGCCCCUCAUUGGCCAAGGCAGACUUGCAGAUGAGCUCUUAACAUGUAAUUUAACAAAAGAAUAGUGUUCUGAGUUUAAAUUGCUUGUUGCUUUUUUUCCUUUUUUUUUUUUUUUUCCUUCUUUCCCCAGAUCAGGAUUCAGACCUCCCCAUUUGUUUUAUGGGAAAGCCACAGAGCUGGUUUCUUCCUAGAGCUGUUGCAGUAUGAAUGAGCAAAGCGUGCAGGUCUUCUUAUCUUUUUCUGCUUCUUUUUUUUUUUAAUCUCUUGUUUUUGGUUUUGUUCUGUUUUCAUUCCCUUUUCGUCUCUUCUUCCCCACCUGUACUCCAAUGCUAAGGGGCCUGGAACAACCACCCAGCCUAUUUUACAUCUUUCCAUCUGGGGACUGGGGAGAGGUCUGCAUUGAACUAGAAAUAUUCUCUCUAGCCCCUUUGGCUAUCAUCAGGUCAAAUUUCUUCAACCAGAGGAAAAAAUCCUGCUUGAACACUUUUUCUUUGCUUUAAUGAGGUAUUAGGGGAAAGUAUUUUGUUUAUGAAGAGGAAGUAGUAUAGGUGAAUGUACCUUUAGGAAAGGGUCACCACCGCAGGAGUGCUGUUAAGAAAAGCUGCCAGAUCUGUCACCAGAGGCUCCUGUGAAAUGAAGAUGUUUCUAUACCCUGCGUGUGCGUGUGUAUUUUUGAUGGUUAUGCUGGAUUUCUGCCAUGCCACAGUACUGAUUAGAAUAAUUUAUAAUAAAAAGGCGGUAUGGAUUUCAGGAAUAGAUAUUAUGAUAGGGGAAGGGGGGAAUUGGAGGCAGGGAGGCCAAAUCUGAUAUAGAUAGAUAGAUUUUUUUUUUUUUCCUGUUCAGUGAACGUACCCUAAAACAUAGAUUUCAUUUUUGCUUUCUGUAGGAAGUUAGUACUGUCCUCAGGUAUGCUGCCAGAGAUGACUGCUAUGUGCUUGGCUAAAUACACAUUGCGUGCUUAUGCCUUACUGUUUACUUUGAGUAGGACUCAGGAUAUUCCAGGCACUUCCCAGAUGCAGAUGGAUAAUCUCUACUUCCAGUAUUCCACAAGUCAGAGGCAGGCCAGAAGAAGGUACAUAGGUGGGAAUUCUCAGAUUGCUGAGAUACAGAACAAGAUUGAAAGGAGCCAGGGCCCUUGAGAGGAAUAUGAGUGAGUGGCAAAUAUGUGCAGAUGGAGUGAGAAGGAUACAUUCAAGGGGCUCCAUGAAAGAAGUGGGCACCAUGCAACUGAGUGUUCUCACUGCUGAGGUUUCAGUCCAGUCUGCCUUUAUCAGCCAGCUAGGCCUAGUAAAUUAGUGCAUUUUGCUCCCUGGUGUGUCUGGAAAGAAAAGAGAUCCUUUGCUUUGCUUCUGCAUCACAAGUCAAUCCCUGAUCAGUUCAGAGCUUCUGACAUCUGAUCCGUCCCUUGGACGCUUUCUCCUGCAUUUGUCAACAGAUGAUAUGAUGGAGUGGAGUUCCUUGGUCAUCUUCUGCAUGGAGAAAUGCUGUGAAAAUGAGCAAGCAGUGGGUUGAGGUAUGUGAGGUAAAUGUACAAAGUGAGACUAGACAAGGCCAGCAAGAAGUCUUUUGGGGGUUUUGUGCAUGUAUUCUUUUGGGCAGGAAGUGUUUGUUAUCCGAAAUUCAGUUUUUGCUGCUGUUAAGGCCCCUGAACAUGUCUGCUACACAAAACAGAAAACAAAAAGAAAAUGUUUUCUCUUCAGUUAUUCUGGCAUUGCUUAUGUGAUCGUAAAUCGUUCCUACUCCAUCUGGAAAGAUGGGAUGCAGAGCUCUUUUCUGAGGAGGUAUCUAAUGCAAAACCUGGUAGCAGCUAGCAAUUGGCAUGACAAAAGGGUUACAGCUAGUGGCUGGCACUCUUCCCAUCCAUCUUGCCACUGGAAACAUAAUGCUUUGCAGUGUGCUUGCUUGUUCUUCAGGCGCUGCUGUGCGAAGCCGGUCCCCGGGAUGUGUAACGGAGCAGUUGCAUGUCGUCUGCUUUUGUUUGUGGUGCCUCCUUAGUGGCAUGAGAAUGGGAAGUGGGACUGAAUGCAGGGGACUGUUUUUCUUCAGUAGAGUGCAACGUGAAGUGGAUGAGAACAGUGGGGUACUUGUGGAGUGUCCUCUGGUGUGGGAAGAUGAGCAGCAAGGUGUCUAGCACAGGCAGUAAAGCAUCAAGUGUGGCAGGAGAGCUUGUUUUGUUUCUAACCUUGUAUGCCUUGUGAAGGACAAGGCAGAACUUAGAAGUAUGGAGUGCACUUUUUUUUUUUUUUUUUUUUUUUUGAUUUUAUAAAUAUUGUAGAUUUUGUUCAUGUAAGCUGACUGCACUGUGUAUAUUCUGUCCUCCACUUGAUUUGCAAGAAGACCAAGGCCCUGGCUCAAUUAACUUAGUUUCAAGUGUUCCUGUGAUGCCAAGAUUAUAUCACCCACUUUUUUGUAGAUAGGUUUAUAACAUGGUGUCAGAAUAAGCAGUAGAAAGGAGAUCUCCUAAAUUGUUAUCUUUUUCUGCUGCUGAGUUUAGACAGGAACUGUGCUCAUCUUCCAGUAGUGCCCAGCUCUGAUGUGCCUUUCAAACCUUCACAUGGAAGCUGGAUGUCUUCUUGCUGAAGCUCCUUGAGGCCCUCCUGAAAUAAAUCAGAUGCAUUUCCAUGGGAUUGGAUAUGUAUUCAUGUCUUCCUUCUUUUGAAGGAAGGUUGGAGAUGAGAUAGAAGAGAGUCCAGGAUACUCUCUCCCUUGGGGCCUCGAGUGCUUUGAAUGAGUUGCUGUUUGGACCAGUUUGCAGUGCUGAGGUUGGUGCCUUUUUCUCCCUGGGAGCUGUAUGUACAGGAGGAGCCCUUCUGUGCACAUUCCCUGCUCUGCAUUUUAGGCAGUGUUUGCUCCUCCUUUCUGCAUGAUGAACCCGUGUCUCUUCUUAAUACCUCCUUUCUGCUUCUUUGUGGUGGGUGGAUAUAAGGCACAGCCCUGCUCCUGGUGUCUCUUAGCUGACUCUAGACAGUGACACACUGAAGUCAGUGUCUGUCCUGCUGAAGAGGGACUUCAUCUGUCUGCUUCCUCCCAAAGGACUUCAGGUAGAACGCUGUGGAGUUGGGGUGUGGAAUGGUGUCCUGGAAAUCCCAGCCUUCUAGAAGGAAGCACUGCUGCACACUAGCACUGUUUUGUACUUGGUAUCUUUGGAGGGCUUUUCUCUUACUGCGUCCCAAGCAUCCGCUUUUAUCUUUCCCCUGAUACAUUAUAUCCCACUGAAGACCCUUCAGGCAGAGAUACUUUGUUCCUUUCUUUAGCUUCGUGAUUGCUGUUUAUGCUAGAGUGUAAUAAACACAGUUAGCAUUUCUGGCUUGUUUCAGGGUGGGUACUUGAGUGUGAAAAAGAUUUGGAUACAUUAACUCUGUCUUUCUUACCUCUGUCUGAGAUAGUAUCUGCUUAGGACUUUUCCUGAUACAUGAGGGCUAUGGAAAGGCAAUUGCACUCCCUCUGCUCUUGAAAACAUUACAGUAGCUUUGGUAGAGUUGGACAAACAGUAUGGGGGUAAUAAGGAUAAGAGGGUAAACUACAUUGUCUUUCUUUAAAGACUGGCUUCCAGAUCAUGCAGAGCAGAGUCAGAAGGUAAAGGCUGCUCUCAUGGCGCACUUCACCUGCAGUGUGUGUCCAGUUGCAGCAUGCUGAAUGUAUGCAGAUCUGGUGCUGGGCUCAAAAGCUGGGGAUUCCCAAGGCAAAAGAACUGGGUUUGCCUGUGUCCUUGCUCUCAGUAUGCUGAGCAAGUGCAUUUUUCCUCUGUAAUGUGCUCAGUGUCUUCCAGCCUGAGUCAGCUGUGUGUACUGCCACUUGCUUGAGAGACUGAAAAGCAGAAUCUCAUGGCCUGAAUUCCUCCUUAGGCUCUGUGCUUGAAGGCCAGGAGUCCGCUGGAGGGAAAUAAAAGAUACAGGGACGUGCAUGCAAUUUAGAGUGUGUAAUCUGGCUCCUCCUCUCCUGUGAUGUCAGCAUGCUAUAAGCAUGUUGGAAGCUAUUUGUUUGUUUGCUUGCUUGCUUUUUUGCUUUUUUUGGGUUUGUUUGUUUGUUUUCCUCCUUCCUUUAAAGUUUGGGACUUAUGUUGUAAUCUGGCAGAACUGGGUAAUGCUUUGUUACCUUUCAGCAGCAGUUGCAUCAGGUGUUGAUGCUUGAGCUCUGAAGGUGCUUUGCCGUGUUCCUAAUGCACUUGUCUGUGGAGGAACUGAGCCUUUGGGGGCUUGUUUAUGGACAUUAAGAGUCUGAUUUCUCUCUAUGUGUGCCCUGGUAAUCUCUGAUUACCAUCCUCUCCCCAUUUGGAAGAACUUGGGCUUGAUGAUAAUGAGAGAUGCAUCAGCUCAAGUAAUUUGUUUGAAGAUAUUAAGCUUUGUGCAUACUGAAGAAUGUUAUAUCCAAAGCUUUUGAGGAGUUCUGCCCAUGAUGCAGUGCCACUUAUGGAAUUUGUUUCAUCUAUAGGGCCAGAUUAAAUGGAGCUAUUAAAUGUAUGUUGCCGUUCCUUGCACAUCAAAAAGUGAAGUUCAGUGUCUGAGUUAUCAUGGGGCACUGCAAUGAGAUAAGGACUCAUCAUAGCGUUGCAAUAAAUAGCAAUGUCAUUAAAAGAAAAAAGGCUUUUUUUUUUUUUUUUUUUUGUCUAUAAAUGUAAUUGGAAAAGCCAGAAAUCUUGAGUGGAAAUUUUUAGUAUGCUGAGCAGAUUUCUGUGUGCAGGGGGUAUCUGAGACUUUGAUUGCUGCAUGAGCCACGUAGCUGUGGGAUAUGAUACCAGGUAAGCAAUGAUACCUGAUUUCUAGUCCUGGAAGGGAAAUGAGUGCCUUAUUAUUGGACAGCUUUAUGAGGAGUGGCACUCUUCAUUAGAAGGCAGCAGUGGACAGUGGAGCUGUAUUUGGCAGAUGUUGACUUAAAGCUGUGCAAGAAGGAUUUUUUGAUCAUUAGCCUUAAACUGAUUAUUUCCUACUUGUUUCAGGACUCAUUGUUUAUUUAACAACCAACCAAACAAAAAACCUCUGCUUUUUCUACCUCUACGUGAAAAGUGUCAGCUCAGUAAGCAGAUGUCGUUCUAUGAGUAAGGUGAAGCAAUAAUGCAAGAGGAGCAGUGAGGGGGAAAAACAGCUUCCUGUUCUGUGGUGUUUCUGAUUUGUUGUUUUUCUUCUUCUUAAUUACAUGAAGUUGGAGGAAUGAGCUGGUAGGAUAUGAGUAUUGCCAGCUGGUGAAUAAGAGCUGUGGUCAUGGGUGUCAUGCAAGCAUGAAACUGUGGAGGACUGGGAUGUGUUGGAAGGAAAAACAAGAACAAUUCAGGCCAGCACAUGGCUUUCUCAGAUAGAAUGCAAAUGGAGGGAAUGUCUACAAAGCCAGUGCCCAAAGCUGGGAUUCUGUUCCUUGCUCCAGUUAAACCAACACACAAACCAGUUCACUUGAUGUCCCCAUUACUUUGGACUGCUUACCUUUCCAGUUUUUCUAGCUUGUGAUUUGGGCAGAAUGAGCCAGUAGGGAAAAUGAUGAUCUAGAACUGGCCUGACUCGUCUCUGUCUCUUCCCAGAAAGCUCAGUUUCUUCUCUACCACCAAAACAGUGACCGGCUCUACUACUAUUGUUCAGAACACCUGAGACUCCACAGUGAAAUCAUCUGCCACUGCUUAGGAAAGGAAAAGCUUUCAAGCCUUUGCCAGCUCCUUCUGUGCUUCUCUACUCACUAUGGCUUUUCUACACCAUACACAUGGUGUAGCAGCUGCGGCUUGAAAUUCACUGGGGCUUUUCCCUCGCCCUGCGGUAUCUAACUGUAUCCAGCCCUGGCACCUUUACAAGCAUAGACAGCAGAGGCUGUGCGUGAGGCCAGCAUCGUGUGUGUGCCAAAUACACUGACGACAGCCAUGCUCUUGCUGUGCCUUCUUCUGAGGUGACCACAGAGCACAAAGUAGACUGGCCCGUUGGAAGCCGUGCUGCUCUCUUCUGGCUUGAGGCCUCGAUGCCUGCGAUAAUCUUGAGUAGAUACCAGGGAGUAGUGGGAAGAAAGCUUUUCCUUCUUGACAGAGUACCAAACACCUGAGGGAUUCCUGGGACAAGUUGAAUGGAGUUUUCUUACCCUAUGUGUUUGAGAGGGGGGUGUGGUACCAGGAGACUGGAUACUCAGUGCAGCAUUUAAUUUGAUUUUAUAACUCCCCUAUGGUGAGCUUGUGACAUGUGUUUCUGACCUAACCAAGAGCCACUGCAGGUGCAAAGCCCCUUCGUGUCCUUCCCUGUUUCUGGAAGUCCUGACAGGCUUCUGGCUAAACAGUCAACAAGUCCACAGGGUCACAUUGAUGUUUUGAUGCCUGUGGAAAGAAGUUGCCAGUGGGAGUCUUUUUCUGGCUUAUGUUGCUGACUGUCAAAAAACAAACAAAUGAGCAAAACCUAAACUUUCUUGAACUGAAAAGCCACCGAGGCUGUGUACAGGCUGGAGGGUGCAACAUGGCAGUGGGCUUUCCCUCAUGCUUUCAAAAGAGAUUUCCCUGACAUCAAGGUAGACUCCAGUCCUUCAUCAGAGCUGGCUGAAAUCAGAGGUCCAUAGCUGAGAUUUAAGGAUUGCCUUCUCUGGUUCUCUUCACAACCAGUUUUUCCUUCUCCACUUGGGGCAUUAGUAUAGACUUUGUGCUGUGUUCUCACCUAUUGGUAAGGGCCCCGUGCUUUUGUAUGCUGACUGCGUAUCGGUAGAUACAGCUGGUAUGCUCACUCUCCAAAAGGGUUUCUUUUGUCUUACUGGUAUUGCCAGAAGCCAUUGUCAAGUAUGUUCUGUCAGACUAAAUGAAAAGAAACCUCUGAGUCUCAAGAACUUGUGAAGAAGCCUGAGUAGGGAAAUAGUAUCUCUGGCAGCCUCUAGGCCCUCUGACACAAAGAUCACAGGAAUCCAUGUCUUCCAAGACUCUGGGGAACAGGGGCUGGAUUUCUUUUCUUGCACUGAAGUUUGCCUACCUCUGACAAGACGAAUAUUUUUUCAAAGUAAAAAAAUGCAAGUUGGCUUCAUUGGAAUAAGACAAAAAAGGAUAUGCUGAAAACCUGUAACCAAAUCGGCUUGAGCUUAUGAUUACUCUUGCAGUAAUUGGCUCUGAGCUGCUGUAACAUCCACAUGUUGUACUGAAGUGUUUUUUGCUUGCUCCUAGAUUUCUUUUCAGUUUUGUGCGUGCACAAAGAGGAGGGAAUAGCACCAGAUGACGAGGCAGGAAACACUCAUGCAUUUCAGUGACUGAUGUUCAGUGCCUAGAGUUGGGAGUAAGCCACAUCUUAGACCAGGGGAAAAAAAAAAAGAGAUGAAGCUGCUGAAGUAGUUUAGUGUGUGGAAUGGAGCCUGGCAGGCGAGAGGCUGGCUGCAGCACUGCACGUCUUCCUGGACCAAGUGAGCAAUGCUGAGCUGGGGAGCUGAAGAGGCUGAAAUCCACUGUUGGUUCUGAGUCUGACAGAUUUGGUAACAGAGUUUUACCAGAGGAUCCAGUGGGAGAAGUGGAGAGGACUGAAAAGUCUCAGAAGACAUUCAGAAUGCUGCAUGUACUCAUGUGAGGAAUACUGCUUGGGAAGAGGAUAUUCCUCCAUUAGAAGGAUCAGGAGAUCAGCUGAGACCAUUUGAUACGGUGUUACAUAGAAGUGUAAAACUCAGUCAUGAGGUUUUCAUUUUUGAAUAGUUAGCAAACCUGGCAGUGGUGAUAUAAGCAGUUAGAAUUGUGAUUAACUGUGGUGCUUUUAAUUUUGUGGCUGAACCAAAAAUGGGGGUUGGCUUUAACUGAAACAUGAAAAAUCACAGUUUGCUGAACGUAGCAUGGGGUGGAUUCACCUGCAGAGGGAAAGGGAGUGCUUGUUCUCUGCUGCUCACUGGCAGCUAGAAUCUCUCCUAUGUGAUGGAGGUGUAAUUACAACUGUUGAGCUCCCGUAUUCAAAGCAGUGCUGAGCAUACUCUUGAAACAAUUAUUCAGACCAAAAACUUCCUGGCAUCUAUAACAGAUAAAACUGGAAGUCAUUCAGGGUGAGAAAUAGAGCUGUGUAAGUGCGGAGUGAGUGAAAACGAUUCCCUAAUGAAGAAGCAGUAAAAGAGCUAAAGAGCACAGCUAAACAAAGGUCAUACUGUGUAGACAGAAUGUAGAUAGAGGCUAAGCUUACUUAAAAUAUAUAGAGGCCAGUGCAGUAUAAAAUGAAGGUGGGCCAGCCCAUGGAGUAUUAUCAUGCAUAGAUAAUAGAUGCAUGCAUAUAUAGAGAGAGAAAUAAAUAAAAUGGAUGUAAGUAUGCAGUGAUACAUUCUGAAAACCUGUCAUCAGAACAAAUUGCAAAGCACAGAAUGCACCCAGGUUCAAAAAGCUGUAGCUGGAAAACAGAAUACCAAGAUCACCAUAGAAAUGGUGUUCCUUAGGAGUCGCUUUGUUUACAGCAACUCUUUAAAGCUCUGCAACACGCUGGCAAGCAAAUUCACAGAAAGUGAAUUUCUAACUAGGUGUUCAGGCUAGGUGCAGUGAGAUUUCCAGCACACGGAUGCAGAAAGGAUUGGUGCCAGCCUUACCCAAGCAAAGGCUAGUCCCCCUCAGAUUCUCUUGCUGGGCCCAAGGUCAGCCCAUAUGGCAAAGCUCAUGUUGGUGUGUCUGUGUGAAGCUGCGUAGUACAGCUUUGGUGUGGAGCAAAGUGUCAAGAGCCUGUUUGGAAAUACUCUGCUAAUGCAGUUUUACAGAUGUAUUCUUUAAAAUCCAUGCUCAGUGCAUACAAGGAGGUUUAAGGAAGUUAUACAAGAUGGUGUGCGAGGCUUGCAUCAGCAGCUGUGAGUAUGAUCUGUACUGUGUCCCCCUUGUCCCCGAGACAUGAACCAAAUGUGAAAGCAUUAAAAAGAAGUGUUGCUGAAUCAAUGAAGCUGUCAACCAAAUGAUGAGGAUGUAGCUGCUGCUGUGAAGAAAUAAAUGCUAUUUUGAAUAAUAGUCUUUAUACAGAAGGUCUAAAUGAGGCCACCUUGAGAACUCUUUACCACAGUGUGGUUACAUGAAGAAGGUACAGAGAUGAGAAGACUUCCAAAAGAGGAAAUCAUGUCUAGACUUCAAAAUGCCAAUUCUCAAUUUUGGUAGUUAUAUCCUGUCUGGUAUCUUUGUGCCAAUAUGGAGGAGAAAUAAUUGACUGAAAGAGAGAAACAGCCAGUAGCAUAAGGAGAUGCCAUGCAUCAUUUCACAGUACGAGAUCUCAAAUAUUCAUAUGGAAAAUUAUCACCAACCCUUAAAAAUUGUUGCAGAUUAGGAAGCUGUUAUAUAUUUUAUUGUCUGAUAAAGUAUCAAUUUUGUACCACUUUCUGCAGGAAUGGGAAGCCUUGUGAAAGCAGUCUGAAAGGUCUUCACUAACUUGCAUGCUGCAGCUGAUGUGCUUCAGCACUUUGUUAAGGAUUAAAUGUUUUUGCUUUUUCCAUGUUUUAGCUAUACCGGGCUCUGGGAUGCAUUUGCUGGUUCCCAGCUUUGUUUUUUUUUUUUUUCCCCAGAUAUCUUGAAGAGCUUAAAUAUAGCUAGAGCAUUGGACCCAAGGAGAAGAGAAGUUAAAUUCACUAACUUCACUAGUUCAAACCAAAUUUGCCCAGUUUUGCAUAUUUUGUGCAUGCUGUGGGGGAAGGGAGGUCUCAAACUCAGUAGUUCCCUAAACAAGAAGGAAAGCAAUCAUUGUUUGUGGUUAACUUACAGAGCAGCAUUAAUGGUCUCUAGAACCUCGUCAUACCGUUGGCUCAAUAGGAACUUGAGAAAGAGGAGUUCUGUGAGGAGAUGGGAUGAGGUGGAGUUACAGUUGUCAGGGGAACCAGUUGGUGUGCAUAUGAAGAUGCUUUUGUGAUGCACUCGUGGGAAGAAGGCAGAGGAGUGUGUACUUUGGUGACGAGGGGGUGAAAUGCCCAAGUGGAACCAAAAGUCUUCCGUGCACCAACUUCUUCACUCAUGUGAUGGUGAUCUGUGUGUGGAUCUGAAUACUAGAAGCUUCACUUGAAGUGCAAAUAAUUGAAUUCUGUGUUCCUCAAAUUCAAACAUGUAGUCCUUUUUUCCCAGCAGAAUUGGCUGGGUAAUUUGAAUCCAAAUGCAUCUUUACACUUGUUGAGACUAUUAUUUGUAAUGGAUGAAAGUUGUGCUUGAAAAUGGAACUCAAUACUGUCUCGCACCUUCUGUCUCUUCCCAUCUUUGCACACUUACUCACAAUCAGUUUGUCCCCUUACAGGGAAUGACAUAGAAGUACAAGUGUUAUUAAAGAAAAAGUCAGACCUCAUUGGAUUUAUUUUUUCCUUCAUGGGUUGAUAAUAUACUUUAGCAUAUUUCCAUGCAGCAAACUUGAGGUGUUUUACCUAACACUGACCUGAGGCUGAGUCUGAGAAGGGGAAGGUAACGUGGUUACUUUGAAAGCUUAUAGAGAGUAAAACGUAGCUAUUUCAUCUAUUGUGUCAAGUGUUCCAAUUUUCACCUCAGCCCUUUAAUUCACAGGUAUUUUUCUAAUUCUGUAAGCUUUUUUUUUUUUUAAGGGAUUUUAUUGAUAUCCCAAUCAUUCUUUUACUCUAUUGUGUUUUCCUGCCAUUUUUCUCUACACAGUGGUGAUUUUUACAAAGCAGAGAGUACUUUCUUUUUGCUUUGCUGUUUCAUGGAGGCAAGUGUUCCUUUUUUCUUGCUGUUUUACUUCUGGUAUCAGAGUGGAAAAUAAAAGUAAGUAUCCUGUCUCACAUCUGCAUGUGCCCACAAAUAGACACACGUACUCAAUCUCCCACAUGUGCACAUGCAGGCAGGCACACAAGGAGUUUGUUCUUGCUUGAGUACAGCCAAAAGAGGCCGGACACUGCUGUCUUCAGCUCAGUGGAAAUUGGCACCAGCCCACCUCCAGCAAACAACGGCCUGACGUCAGCUCACGCAGUGGUGAUAGCAGUAUAACUUGAGAGAUUUUUCGGCUGGCCAGGCUGUUGAAAGGCUAUCAGUGGGUUUGAUAAUCUCUGGCUGCACUUGAGAGGAAUCACUGCAAAGGUGGGGGCAAGAAUGGCUGGUUAAUGACAGAAAUAAUAGAGCAAUUCCUGAUAACUUUGCAGAAGUGGAGAGGUGGUUUUUAGGGCUCACGCUGAAGGAUAUUUGGAUUCCCAUCUUGGCAGCUGCAGUCAUUCUCCCCGUUGUUAUUUCCAGGUUCUGAAAUCCGGGCUACUUGAUAGCAUUCACGUUAGCACCGUAUUGGAAGUUGGAGAACACUUAAAGUGCUGUAUAACAGUCAAUCAAGCAGAUGAUGAAAUUUGACUUUUCUAUUGUGCUGAAUAAAGCACUUUCAUCAUGAUUUUCAUUCCUAAUGUUUGCUUUAUACGGUGUAGAUACAGCUCAAAGAACAGCCAGGUGUGAUACCAAGCUUUUCACUUGGUUCUGUAUAUUCCAUUUAUAUUACUGGGAUAUAAGCACAUAAACUGUUGAUGCCCCAAAGCUUGUCCACAACACCCAGGAAAUGUUUACUUGAACGGUGUUUCUUUAUUCUUCAUUAUCAAAUUAGGCUGGAAUAAAGGCACCCUUUGGUGGUGCUGGGUUCAGAGAACAUCUCUAGGAAAGUAGCAGUUUUCCUGUAGUGCUCCAACUGUGUUGAUGGCAAAGUUAGCAAAGCUUCCAUGGCAUUUCUGAAGCAGGGUGGCUGUGACUUAAAUUUAAUAACAGAUGGUUCUCCUCGUAACCCGACAGUUGAAAGAGACUUCUCUAUUGUUCAGCACUCCCACUGAAAACACGUUUCCAUUAUGAACUUACAGUAUUCCUAUGCCAAAACCAACAGUUAAAAAUGAAUGGUUUGCUCUGGUAACAGGACAAAACAAACACGAAAAUCACUGUGUUGUGUGACAGAAAAUUGGAGUAUUACAGUGAUGAAGUUGAUAACCCUACCAGAACAACUACUUGAUGGGUUAUUCUUGAAUUAAUGACACUUCUAAGCAAAUAUUUCAAAAAUAUAAAGAACAGCGCAUCAGAUUCUGCUUUGCUUCUUGUAGUGCUGCAAAGAUGGCAGUAAGUUCAUGUUCCAUCCAGGCCCUGUCGUGAGAGGUUUACAGACUUUGUGAAAUCUUGGAAGGGAAUGUGAAUAGCUGCCAAUAUUAACACUUGCUAGUGUACAAACUUUAUACUUGCUUUCAGGGUGUAUUUAAACUGGGUUAAUAGCAGAAGGUCUCAAAGUAAGGAGGGACAAGAGCAAGGAGAGGAAAGAAAAAUGCAUUUUUUCCAGUCUGGUGUUUGUCCCAUUAAUAGCUUUUGACCAAAUGUGAUCAUUUUCAAUUUCUGUGGAACUAGGCAAAAAGAUAGGGAUUUAUGUGGGCCCUUAAUUCUCAGCAAACUCACAGAGAGCUGAAGCAAGCAUGGAACAGAUCUGCACAUCUCGCCAGAAGAGAGUGAUCCAAGUAGGACUGCUGAUCUUGCAGAAGGGAAGGAAAGGGUGAAUAGCAGCACUUUCAAAACCAGGAAGGUCCUGAUGUGCAGUGAGUCCGACUGUCCUGGAAGUCUGGUGUGGCUGCUUGACAUCCUGCUCCCAGAGGGGCUGGCAUGUGGCAGGGCCUGGCCAUUUGUCACUUCUGAGAAAAGCCCACAGCAGUUGUAGAGGACACCAGCAGCCAGCCUUCAGCCAGCUGGUGCUUGAGAGCUUGCAAAGCAUGAGGAUUGCCCCAUGCAAGCCUCACCUUGUCAGCGUGCAGGAAAAAGGCAGAGCUCCUGGAUUGCUCCUGCCAGGCAAUGCCAGGUCAUUCAGUAGCAUUAUGUGUUGUGUGAGGCUUGUCACAACCCCCAGCAGAACUUCCCCUUAUAAAAACUAUACAGGCAGCUAGCAAAGACAGUUAAUCUCUAAGCUGCAGCCUCACUGGAGAUCUGUUGUGCCAUGAGGGGGAGGAGACAUGCAGUAGGAAAAUUACGGUAGUGUUUUUCUGUUCUGUUUUGUUUUUUUUUUCUUCUCCAUCCUGUACUGUCUCUCAUCUUGUCCACCCAGCCUGCUGCUGCUCAAAGAAGGAGAUGAGCUGCUGGGAAAGGACUGUGUGUUUUGCCUCCUCCUCCCAGUGGGUGACUUGCAUUUGUUGCCCAUCUUAAGAGUUAGCCAGAGCUGCUCAUGCUAACCUUCUCCUAAACCACAGGUCAGAGAGGCACUGGAGCAUGUUUUCUCUUGCUAGGAACCUACUGAAUGGCCUUUUGUGUAGUCAGCCCUCCUCUGCUCUGUUCUGCAUGUAAUAAAGCUUCCUGGGUGUCUGUGGAGGCUAUGGUUCACUUUGUGUUGGGCGGUGUUUUAAAUCUAGCUUUAAUGUGGCCGGAGAUGCAAUAAUAUGGAAUCUUGACUGGCUAAAAAUCAAAAGCUAAAAAAAAAGAAAAAAAAAAAAGAAGAAAAAAGCUUUAGUUUUAUGGAGAUAAGUUGAUCUGUUAUCAAGUUGUAAUUUUGGUACAGUUCAAUCAUGAGUCUUAAAAAGAAUUAUCCUUCCUCAAGGAUUCAGAAAAAUCCUGUGGUCAGCCCAUUCGAAGCGAUGUGGUAAGGCUACUUAAGAACUGAUGCUGGAUACUUCUUUUUGCACACUCAUUAUUUUUGCAUCCAUGCUCAUUGAUAUUUUCAAGAUUUCUAUGAAACGAAACCAAAGGAGUGAAACUGAAGUUCUCAUUUAAUCAUUUGGCUCAAGUACCCACCAAAAAGCCACUUCAGAUCCUGUCUGAAUUUUGGUAUAGUUGCAGUAUGUGGUAACACUGCAUGCUCCCACCAUCGCAUCCUUCUAAAAGAGUUACAACUUUACUGAACAGUAAAGCACCAUCGUAAGGAUGGUCUCUUCCAUGCUUGAUAGCAGUGUUAGAUGGGAGCAGAGUGCUCAAGCAUCUCUGGGCAAGCCUGAAUGCUGGAGGGAGCGUUUCUUAACUGGUGUUUGCCUUGGGAGCUUUGCUGCUUUAGAAGGUAAGCGCUGCUCCUUGGCCUGUUCUGUGUCUGUUAGAGCGUGAACAUUACCAAGAUGAAUGAGGUGGAGGACAGUCCCCAGUAGCUGCUGGGGACUUCUUGUUCGUUCUAAGAUGCUCCUGCAAAGUGAAGGAGCAGAAUAACAAUGCAGCAUCUCUGAUGGGCUCCAUCCAAACUCAAAAACCCAAGCGCACUCCCCAGGUCUGGUUUCUCACCUUGGCUGGGUCCUCACAGCUUUCGGCACAAAGGUGGGUGCCCAGCUGGAGGAAAUCAGCAAGAGCAAAGAAGGAAGGAAGCCACAGUGCUCCCAUCUGUUUCACAGUAUAGAGAUAACUACCAUAGCCUACUCCUUCCUUGGUUUUAUUAUUAUUAUUCCUCCCCAGUGGGCACAGUGCUUUAUGGAGCAUGUGAUGCCUUUGCAUCUGCUCCCUUUCUCAUGUCUCACUCAACAGAGGACUUGCUCUGAAGUUCUCUGUAGUCUUCUUCUCAGCCUGGAAAGGCUCUUCUUGUUUCACCCUUUCAAAGAUAUCAUCAAGCACAGGAAAUUUACUAUCUUUGUUGGCAGUGCCAUGAAAACUCAACAGAGAGGGAGAAGUCAAGAGAACCAAAGCAGGGACUGGGUAAACUCAUGGAAGUGGGCUCUCAUGGUCCUGUUCAAAGCAAAGUGGAGAUCUGGGAGCUGUUUUGACAAUCUGGUGAGAAAUGCAAAGCCCUCUGUUCAAUUGCAUGGUAGAACUGCUACUUGCUGAGGCUCCCUGGCUUUGCCCUUACGAAUACCUUAUUUUUUUUAUACCUGAUUAAAACAGUGUGGUUAAAAGUGAACAAAGAAAUUUUUUUAACUGACGAGUGUGUUUCAACGCUAAAAAACUGACUCAACUUUCUCAGCAAUACUAUAGCAUGUUGAGCUAAAGUGGCUGAAAACCUCCUUUAAUUACGCUGAAUUUAUUUCUUUUUGGUAGCAGUAACACUCGAGCAGUGGCACGGCAACAAAGACUGCUUUGAACGAGCAGUUCUGAGGGGUGCCAUCCCGCUCCCUUCCCCCAGCCCCAUCUCCCAGUUCCAGAUGACGAAAACAAGUUGCUGCCUCUUCAAGAUUUUUCUUGUCCUUUCUGCUGGUGACAGGAGUAAGUGUUAGUAACAUCUGCUGGCCCGGGCUUGCUUCCUCCAGCAGCACUGGUCUCUGGCAGGGCUGCACAGAGCCAGGAGCCACAGGCAUGCUGUGCCAAGCACCAGUGUGGCUUGGCCAACCAAGGCUUCCAGCAGCACGGCGGCUGCAAUAGCAGCAGCACGGCUCAAUGUGACUGGCAGGGCUCUGCUUAUCUCCUGGCACUUUCUUAGGCCCUAACUCUCAAACGGCAGGGCUGGUGGUUUUGGUUUUUUUACUUCUCGUUGGUGUUUUCUUUUUUCUCUUUUUGAAUAAUGAAUGUUAUUUUAAACAAAACAGCCUGGGGGGAUAAGCAGCUCAACAUGUGGAUCUGAAAACAUUUUCUAUUAGCUUUAGCUUAGAAAGUUACUAUAAGUGACAGAUGUUACAGAGAGCACUUUUCUUUUGCAGUCUAACUCCUCUCUGUGUUUCAGCAGUGUUUUGUGAGUCACUAGUGAUUUCUUUCUUUACCCUAUCAGGCUUCCUUGAUGGUGACAGUAACUGGGAAGGAAAGUAUAUCCCUAUACAUUUUAAGAGGGAUGUAGCAUCUGUAAAACCACAAGAAAAUGAGGAGUCUGUGAAAGCUGAUGCAGGCCAUGCUUUAUUUAUUCUGCACUUGUCUGCUCCAGAAUUGGGUAGACUUCCCUUUGGGUGGAAGGAACAAAAUUCACUGUGUUUUGCUUUGCUUUUUUAGAGUAAGGCGUAAGUCUCUUAGCUGCCUCUUAAGACCGGUUGGUUGGUUACGUUUUACGGACUCACAGAAUGGCCUGGCUUGAAAAGGACCUCAAAGAUCAUCUCGUUUCAACCCCCCUGCUAUGUGCAGGGUCGCCACCCACCAGACCAGGCUGCCCAGAGCCACAUCCAGAUGAAAAAAUAAAAACAGAAAACCAACAAACUGAAGGGAGUUGUGGAGAUUCUGUUAAGUCACACAUGAAGUCGAUGUAAAAACUUGUGAGCAUCUAAGGGUAAAAUGUAUUUUGGACUUGUAGUAGUGAUCUUUGUGCUUGCUCUCAGGUUCUGUAGUGCCUGUGAUAUACAGAGGAAGAACAGGCAGCAAUGCUGUGCUGCAGAUUCAAUUCUGGGGGGAGAUGGGGAGAGUUCCUUUUCUUUUGUGUGUGAUUUCCUGAUGUGAGAACUUUUAAAGACUCUUGUAAUAGCUUGUCUGGAGAUUUUCUACUGUCUGCAACAAGACACAGCCUGAAAUUAUACUAUCCCGUAUUUAACUCAAAUCAGCCCUAUACAAUAAUGCAGUUGUUUCUUCCUUCUAAAUAUGCAGUGCGUGCAGGGAUGAUUCAGGAGUCUGCGUGUGGCUGCAGCAGAAAAGGACUUUCAUGGCUUGCUUUUGCUUUCUCUUCCUGUCCCCUCCAUUUUCACAUGUGGCUGUUAGGCUGUUUCUGAUGGACUGCUCAUUGCAGAAUCAGUGGAAAGUGAAACCGUGGAGAGCGCUGGGACUUGUGUGAAUUCCCUUGGUUUUUGCACUGCAUGCCGUCACAGGCACUGUUCUUAAAACAAACAAAAGCCUCAGUGGACUGAGAAAUUAAAAAUGUCAAUCGAUAAAAAUGAAAAUCUGAACUGCCUGAUGCAGUUGCUUUGCACUGUUUUUAGGACUGACUCUAGGUACUUCUAAGUAGCUGAAAGUGAAAAGAUCAGAAAUCAAGUCGCUAAUACAGUUUGUCUUCAAAUGCUUCCUCUGGAUGUUUAAUAGUGCGUCCCUGAGGAAGUCCCACUCUUAAGCAGUGUGACUAUGAAAUCAUUUUGACUCUGCAGAGUAGGUAUCUGAGAGCUCUGGGGAUUUUCCUCACCUGACUCCCACGGCUUCCUUUCCAUGGUCUUCAUUGCAGUGACUGCAAAGUUGUUGUGAUCCACAUCCCUCAGAGUCGAUGCCAUCUCCAGUCGAAGCAAAUUUAGAGGGGGGGCAGGAGUUACCACUGCAGCAUGUACUCCACAGGCAUACAAACCCAAUCACGUUACUGGUCAAUUCUAAAGGAUCCUGUAAACAUUCUCCGGAGGGUUUUAGAGCUUCUCUACAAAUAAAUGCAGAAGCGUUCUGUGCUUUUCAGACAGCUUUUUCUAACCAUGAUGUGAACUACGCUCAUAAUAUAGCACAUUCAUAACACUAACAAAAGUAACUCAGCAGGUCCUACUUGUAAGAGUUAAUCACAAAAGAUCCUAACGCACUUUGCAAACAAUGUGUGCUUGCAUGCAGGAACUGUUCCUCUCUCCUGGUACACAGCCUGGCACUGGGUGGAACACAGAAGCUGUCUGACAGCAGGAUAGCACAGGAGGCAUUGGGUCAGGAAGGGUGAGAAUCUAUGAGAUGCAGUGCCAAGCUGUGGAGAAUGUAAGGUAACCAAAAUGGAAACUGAUCAGGAUUUUUAAUAGCUGGCUGAUUGAGAUGUUUCACUGAUCUGCAAAAUGUUGGCUGGGUUUGUUUUCUUGGAGCAUGAAAACCUGCUUGUUCCUUCAUUAAACACUACUGAUUCCACAUGUGCUUGUAGGACAGUUCGUGAGCAAAGGUGUGGGGGUGUACAAGGUGCUGUGCCUUCACUUCUAGAUGGUAGUGCAGAAUCUGGUUUGAAAGUGGUGUUAUCUGUGUUGCAUGAGGGCAUCUUGUAUCUCCUUUGGCAUCUGUGUGGAGAGUUGUUAGACUGUGAGAUACCGUACUGCAUAUAUGCAGCUGGGUGACCAUAUAGCGGUUUCCCUAUGGGUAGGCAAGCCUUGGGAGAGGAGGGCAGUGCUGCUGCACCCCCACCAGUUCUGGUAUCUACAGCAAUUGGAUUCUUUCUUGGGGAUCUUUCCUUUGCCCGUUGACCCAACCUGACCCUGCUUGGCUUUGCAGGAGCUGCCUGGAUCACAGCUAACGGUGGAAUGUCUGUAGACAGAAAAGUGCAAAGUCUGACACUGAUCCUACCAAUGAGUAGGAAGGCGUGUACCUGCACUGUGUUCUUAAUGAGUGUUGAAGCCAAAACAUCCAUGCAUUUCUCUUUUCAUCUAUAAUCAGUAAAGCAUAUUUAAGAGUCGUCUGCAAAGCUAACCCCUAUGAAAGAACAAAAACAAAAAGUAAAAACAAAAAGUUAAACAGUUUCCAAAGCCACCUCCUUAUUCAGGAUGGGCAUGAACACUGUCAGAACACCCUCAUGCUUUUCUGACAGUAUCAUUCAACCUUAAAUUGAGGUGGCCUCAUUCUGAAGGGCUGCAAGGAGCUCAGUCUCUGAUUUUUUUCCUGCCAUGGUGAUUUUUAUGCUUUUAGCAAGACUGGAGGUGGGUGGGCAGAGGAUGUCUUUACAUAUUGGUUAUUUCACUUCUUACUUUUCCAUGUAAUUUCAAUCUGAUCCCUUGAGCUGCUACUCUGACAGUGAGUUUACAUUUGAGUUUUUUUAGUUUAUUAGGUUUUGCAUAACAGGUCAACUUUUUCCCUUAUUUGUCAUCAGACAAUGCUGAUGGUUUUAGUAGGGGUACGUUUUGGGUGCAAUUCAAGGCAUAACGUUGUCUUUGUGUGUAAGUAGACAUGAGCACAGAAAUAUUUGUAGUGACAUUUGUUCCCAGCUGAAGUGAGUGUUCUUGAAGCGUUGGUUUUGUAGGAUUGUGUGUACCAAGAAAAUAAGAAAAGAGUACUCAAGAACACUUUGUGUUCCAGAAACUGGUCAAGAUCUGUUUGUCUCCUGGUUUCCUUAUUCAAGAAUUUUUCCAUUGCCUUUGUGUUUCCCAAGGCAAACCGGGCAAACUUCAGCAGUGGUUUAAAUGUGCUGGGGAUAGAAGUUAAGCGUAAAUGUCACCAAGUUGAGUAUCCAGGUGUGAUUUUAAAAGUGAAUGAAGCAAAACCAGAUGAGCUUUGCUUUCAGGUUUGGAGACAUAUCAGAUGGUGAGGCAAAGCAAAAAGCAAGUCUGAUACUUCUGAUGCUGCUAAAGCAAGCACUGCUCAUGAAACCGCUGGCCAUUAAAACCUGCUUAUUACUCCAAUGAGAUGAUGAUGUUUUGGGAAGUGAAUUGAACAGUUGUAGUGAAGCUCAGGCCCUGGAAAUCCAGCUCUCCCUGGCUGUAAUGGAGUCAAGAUCACUUACAGACCCUUUUAAAAGGGUUCAGGCUCAGUGUGUGGGGGGCGAUAGGUGUUUUCCUUCAUGCUGCUGGAGAUACGGGUGUGUGACUGUUGUCACUGCCCAGAGGCAGAGACUUGGGAUAAUUAAGGAGGAGCACAGACACCUAAAGAGAGAGAAUUACCAAUAGCUAGACGUGCAAAAUUAAAACAAACUGGUGAUUCUAGUUUCAGGUAGUGACUCUACUGGUUUCACACAGCAGAGAGUGUACACAGGGAGUGUUACGUCGUAGUGCCAGCAGUAGCUUUCUUAGCACCACUCAGACAGCCGCAACUGAUUGAUUUUUGUUCCUCUAAUUUUGACUCCUUUUGAUCAGUGGGAAAAACAGGUCCCUCUAGGCCAAGGGACCAAACCCAGUAUCUGGCAGUCGCGUCUCAGGCCUGGUUCUCCCCAGACUACAUUGCGAGUGGUUGUAUCAUGUGUGACUCAUGGCCUAAUUAAAUAGUCUUAAAAAGGACGCAAUUCCCCACAUUAGCCGCAUUUUUUACGAAGCAUAUCCAAGUAUUUUCUGUCUCUUGGAAAGUCAGAUAAGUGGUGUUAAAUCGACAUCAGGUUGCCAAAACACAGCGCUGUCUGCCCCGCGCGUGCAGAAACAGGCUGUCCUGUGAGCAUGCUGGACGGCUGCCGAGGACGGCUGGCUCAGAAGGGGAGACUUCUCAGGCUUAUCAACAAGGGUGUGCAGCUAAGUGCUAACUGGGCCCUCACUUCUUGGAUCGAAAAACCAGUGCCAACAGAAAUACCUUUCCAAGCCGAGGCUCUCAAAUGAAACACCUAAUUUUGAUUGUCUUGGUACCUGAUGUUUUACAACCACAAACUGUUGUGAGGCUAUUGGUAAUGUGAGAGGCUUUAUCCCUCUGAAUUAUCAUCUUUGCAGAUGUGUUUCCUUUAAAUCUCUCCCGUGUUUUGCGUACUUCAGCUUUUCUCUGCUGCCCCAAAUUUGUCACUGCGCUAUGCUAAUGCAUUUUCUGGCUUUCAAAGCUGGCCUGCAUUGUUUUGUAUUUGGUGGUUUCUUUGGAGGGGAAUCCCUUUUUCAUUAAGACCUAAACUACCCAAUAGCAUAGGUGCUCUGCAGAUUAAUUUUCAAAAAAAUCCUCCAGAGCAGGCAUCUGCCUGGAAGAGCUCCUAAUUCCCAGGCUGCCAUAAAGGAGAGAAGGGCAGAGGCUGUGCAGGAUGGGGCAGUGGGACUCAGGUGACCCGAGUUCAGUGCCAAGCCCUUCAACAUUCCCAUUGCUGUAGAGCAUUUGCCAUACCCUUUACUCUAUUGAAUUCCUGAUGAUGGUAUUUCCUUACCCUAUCCCUCCAAUGUAUCUGUUUAACUUCUGUGUUUUGUAGCACAGAAUUGUGCAUGCAGAUGUGGAUGUAUGUGUGGAGCAGGACACAGAAAUCUCCCAGCUCAGGGGGAGGACAGCAGUCAGCAUCACCAUUCUGGAGCUGCUGCGAUCUUCCAUCCUGGGAGCUCCUGUAUUUGAGGCUGAUCAUCACUAGGUAACUCCUCAGUGUAGGAACAAGAAAUCCACUCUUCUCUGCAAGUUGUAUCAGCACAGACAUCCAGCUGGCACCCCCUUUCUAUUGAGGUUUUGGGGAUUUGCUGGCUGCAGAUGUAAAAACAUUUUGCUACUUCAGUUCUACCUUGACAGAUUUCCCUCUGAAAGCAGCGUAGUGCUGCAGCCGCAUCUGGCUAAGUGUGGCAUUGCCUAAUGUGCUUGCUGCUGUGAAGCCUCCUGGUUUUUGCCCAGAAAAGGCAAAAACCUCCCUAACAACAAUCUGCUGGAUCUGAUUUAUGGAUGCAGCAUGCUUUUUCUUUCUUCCUGCCACAUCCCUCUUACCUUUCUCGAGUAAGCAUACAGUAGGUGCUUUUUGCAAUUGGCGUUUCCCUCCCCUGCUCCCUCCCUAUCAAGCACACAUCACAUGAUAGCAGGCCUCACCCAGGCCCAAGUGACUGCCUAUCACAGCGUGUCGUCAGCUGGCACUGCUCCCAAUUCUCCAGAGCUGGCAACUGUCCUCUUUUCUUUGAUCUUCGAUAACGGGAACAGAUUAGCGUUGGGAGCAGCCAGAGCGCUGCUUUAUGGGGCUUUAUUCCUGUAUACCUCUGGUUUUCCACAAAUCUUGCCAAGUGAGUUUCCUGAUUGUGGGCUAUGUCAUUUGCUAUUCUCCCCUUCCCUGCCCCCACCCAUUUCCUGACAUCACUUUUAUUUUAAAUCCUUCUGUAGCAGUGGUCCAGUUCUGCUGGAGCACUCCACCCAGUACUUCCGAAUGCAGUAAAUCUUGCUGAUCGGGGGAUUUAUAUGGUAUACAGAGUUAGGAAAACUACAAAGCUUUGCAGUGCUUAGAAACAAACAAAAAUCUUCAUUUCUCUUCUGCAGUCUCCUGCAGUGACUCUUUUUUUUUUUAAAGCUCUGAUGUUAAGAAGCAGAUAAAACACAUUGCUUUUGUAGACUACCAUCGUCAUCUUCCGAUGUUAUGGACCAUGUUUAUUUGGACUCUGGCUGCCUUCAGGUGUAGGAGCUGGUCAUUCUGAGGCUGAAACUGUCCAAGGCAAAGGCAAGGUUUGUGCUCCUGGUGAUUAUGAUAAUCUCUUGGCAGUCUUGUUGGCAUACACCGUGCUCUCUCAGCUUUCUUAUCCGUAAAGAGAAAGCUGGACUCCCCACUGGUGUUAGGACCAGCUACUUUUCUGCUGGAAAUCCCAAUAAACCAGUGAACUUGGAUUUCCUUAUUUCUCUGGCAUUUGAUUUUGUCCCUGUGCCUACUGCUUCGAGUCACAGAAGUUAGGCACAGGCUGGGUUUUGUCUUUUGCUUCUCUGUUAAGCAUGGGAGAUGGGUGUAAAAGAACACGACAAAUUCUAAGUAUUUUUUUCCCAGCAUAAAGUCAAAGUCUUUGCAACUGCGUAAGCAGGAGAGGGAUUGGAUGGAUUUUAGUCAAAUGUGUUUGUACCUGGUCUCAGCCUGCUCCUCUUAUUAAGGAAACUAAUCUAUAUAACAGUGGGCAAUUGAUGGAAUUUAUAGCCCAGUACUAUGUGCUACAGGUUUAACAGACGUUGUCCCGUAGGACACCUACAAUUUGCUGCCCUGAAACACUGCCUGAGAUCAAAGAGCCCUUUUGCCAUAUUGCCCACGAGCUAUGGAUGGUGACCAGGUGCUGCUGCAGCCCAGGGCAUGCUUGGUGCUUGUUCACGUGGGAGAGAGGAAGCUGAAGGGGUAACUUGUCUGUGAAAUGCUUUCAGGUCCUUCCAGCUCAGUUGUCUGAUAGAAAUGCAGCCAGCUUUUUGCCUACUUCUAUCUCCUUGCCUUUAGCCAUGGUUUAAUUUUUGCUUACCUUGUACCUGUCUACGGUUACCCGCCAUUGUAGCAUAGCCUCAGAAUUCUGGGUAGAACGUAUCUGGUGGGAGAUGUCUUGCGUGGAUUUAGCAAGCUUUGCUUCUUGCUGCAGGAGUGAUGCUUACUGGUGAGAGGAGGUGGAAAGCUUCAAGGAUACGGGUCCUGCAGAAGGGACCCUGCCUGUUUUUUGACAAGAGGCAUCACCAUUGGUUCUUCUAGAGGCCCAUCAUCAGGCAAAUGUACCUUUUCAUUUUGUCUUGCUGAGGCUUUUGCACUUUAUCUGUGUGUUUUCUCCCUCAUGCUAGGUUGAAUUGCAGCAAGGCAACUGAUCUGAAUUAUUUUUGUUAUUGUACUGUGGCAGAAAGCAACAGCCCACUGCAAGCAGAGCAUGUUUGCACGAUACCCUCACCGCCCUCAUCCUGCACACUGCGUUGUGGCUCUUGGGUUCCUUCCAGGGGAAAUUCCAGGCAUCGGCUGUUGGAGGGCCCGGUGUCACAAGCACACUGUCCUCAGUGGUCCUCCCCAAAAGUGGUGCACAGUGGGGAUAUUUCUGCUGUGAAACCUCAUUACACUUGCAAAUGAUACAGAUGUAAGAAGAGCGCUGAACUUUCUGGAGAAUAGGGUUAAGAUUCAAAACCUUGACAACUUUGAAAAGCCACCUGGGGGAAAUAAGAGGCAGUUUGGUAAAGGACAUGCACGAAGUUGUACUCUUAGUGAGAAGAACAGGCAGCCCAGAUACUGCAUGGGAGAUGGCUCUGCAGAAGGGGGCUGGAGCUGAUGGUGUGGCCCCAGGGCUGGCACAAGUCACCAGGCUUGUGCAGCUGUGAUAAAGACAAGCUGGGAUUUAUAAGCGAGGAGGGUGCAGAGAUCCUUCCACCCAGCACAGCUUGGUGAGGUCUCACCUGGGGUCUUGAACCAGUUUUUUUGCUUGCAGCCUUCAAAAACAGCAAAACAGCUCACACAGGCCAGGUUUGUUUGUUUUUAAAAGAAAAACAAAUCUAGAGGGAAAUGGCAUGAAGGACUGGUGAUUUGUCAGGCAUGAUUGUGAGGAGAAAAUGAAGGCACUGAGGUUGUUUCUUCUGUAAAAGAGAAAACUGAGGAGAUGGAUGGACAUGGUCACACCUGCAAAAUGUAGGAGGGAAUAACAUGUUUAGCUUGUUCCUUGGGAAGGGGACUGUAUCUGUUGUCCAUGGUAGCCAAGUGCAUGGCAAUCCUGAUGGCAAGCUUUCACCAGAAAUCCGCAGGAGUCUCUCUCUUUUUAGCUAAUGUAUUUAUUUCUGUGGUUAUGUUCCCUCUUUCUCUUCCAUUUUGCAGCAGGCCAGCAUGAGAAGGGUGCAGUGCAAAGGGAGACCUAUGCUUCAUCCUGCAAGCCAGGGGAGUGGGCCAGCUGCAGAGCUGACCUGUGCCUUUGGUCAGCGAGUGUAGCAGCAGAGCUUGCCAGAGCUGAAAAGCAGGGGAUUAGUAUCCAGGUGUGGCUGCACGAAUGCUUGGUCAGAGGUAUGUUCUGACAGCAGGUGAGGAGAUUCUUGGCUCCUAGUUCAGGGAAGUUUAACAAUCAGACUUGGCUUGCACAAGAAGAUCAGUCAUUUUUCUCUGGAGGUUACCAGGGUGAGAGCAAGAACGCCGCUUUCGACUUGCUGCAGGACUUGGUGGCAGGAGCACACAGAAGCUCUCAGGAUAUGACAGAUGAGACAGAUGCAUCCUGACAGGCAGCCCUUCAGCACCAGCAGUCAAAAGGUGGUGGUUGCACUGCUGCAGGGGUUCGGCUCCAUGUUCUAGGGAGGCUGUCAUAGGGACAAGCUUGUUCUCCUCUGUCAUGCAGCAACUACUGCAGCAAAGCAAUAUUAGGAAGUAACGUUUUAGCUGUCUUCCACGUGAUUAGUCCUGCUUGAGGGAGGGGGAAGGGCCUCACAUUCUCUAUUAAUCAUUUCUUCUUCUCUCCUCCCAUCUGCUAAGUGAGUCUCUUGCUCUUGCAUACGCCACUAGUAUUUGAUCAUCUUAUUGCUAUCUUUCUCCCUCCCCCUCCUUGUCGGUUCUUUGUUGAGCCUCUACCCUAUUUGCUCCCAGCUUCUUGUAGAGAUGCUGCCUAAUGAAUCGAUUCACUCUCCUACCUCUCUUCCCUUUAAAAAAAAAAAAAAAGUGUGGAGGGGAACCCCUUAAACUGCCCAGUGCUUCAUUCUCUCUCCCCAUUCAUUAUGUGUUUUCCUGGUGGUCAGCACCUUCCAGCCAAAGUUGUGGAGCACGUGUGGGCAGUGCCUGGUUCCCUCUCCUCCCCUUCGUGCCCUCCCCUGAGGCUGCAGGCCUGACUCCUCGUCCACCUCCUUCUCUUCCAGCUGCUUUCACUAGCCUCCUAGCUCUUCUUGGCAUUGAGGAGCCCGGACAUCUGUAGAAGCAGCUGGAAGCAAGAUGGAGAGCCAAUAUCCUGCAGCUCACCAGAUCUCUUCAAACUUCAGCUCAGGAACCAGCAGCCUAAGACAGAGUAAUGCUUAAUUUGGUGUGUUUUUACACUGCUUAGUUUGCACUGCGCACUGUUUGUUUGUUUCUCACCAUUCCCCCCAAAAACUGCACCUUUAAUGAUGCAUGCCAUUUCAGAGCUAUAGCAAAUCAUUCUAGAAAUCUUGUUGCCAGUCAGUAAAAAUGAAUGUUCUUACACAAUAGUGAAAGAAGGCAAAGCUAAGCUUUGUUUCCACGUGGAUCUUCACCAUUACCUGCCAAUAUCAUUGGAUGGCUCAAAUGACAGAAUUUAAUCCCACAUUAACUGAAAUGGGGCCUCUCUCAAUCAGCAGCACCACACACUCAUAUUCCUGAGGGAGGAGCAGCAGUACUUUUGCUGGUUCCCCAUCACUUUGUUACCUGAUUCGCAUCAAAACCUUAAUGGGAAAGUGUCUCGGCGGUGUUGUGAAAGGUGAUAGUCCUCUUGCCCUGUAAACACUGAGAGCCAGUUAUGCGGAGCUUGGCAGGGCAGAGCUGCUUGCAGAAGAGAGCAAAAGAGGUCCAGGAUUCCUGCUACUGUUCACACAGAGGUGGGGAAGCUCACGGGUGUCAGGAGUUGCAGCAUGGCUUUUGGGAAAGGGCCCCCGAAGGGAAGAUUGUGAGUCAUGUUGCUGUGAAAAGCCUCACAGCAUGUUACAUGAUGCAAGCUACUUGGCAAAUGCUGUAACUGUGUCACCGAAGUGGCUGAGACGCAGCGCCCAGUGAGGAGGCUUUGCCUUGUGAGCAUGUGAACGUGCUGCAGCCCUUACUGGAUCACGAGGGCAGCCUGGGAAUGCCACUUACACUGCACGCUGCCACGAGAGCUGUGUUUGCAGGGGGCUUCUCGCGCUCCACUUUGGGGUUUGGAAUUUGCUGGUUGUGUGGCAGAGAGCAUGUAAUAAGAUAAAUAGCCAGGGAGAUGCUUUAGACAUGUUUUUCUAAGGACUUGGAAGAUGAGCGUGAUGAUUAGGGAGAACGUUUUUAUAGAGCCUUUAGCCCAGCAUCCUGUUGCACUGUUGCAACAAACAGCAGUUAUGCAGGAAGCAGCUAUUGGCUUUUUUAAUGCCUCAUUCCUUUUGCAGCUAGCGGUAGCUGUUU
rnacentral:lncRNA from 1 species